AUCCUCCUUCCCAUUUCUGCCUUGAAUAGGCAGUCAUUAUGAUGAAGCCAGGCUUGUUUCAGAAUUCCAUGAGAACCACAGUGUCAGGCUGUGACAACUCUGGGGCUGGAAAUGGAAAAGGCUGUGAUCUGGGGUUGGCUGGCACUGUCCCCGUGAGUCAUUAUGGAAACACUGUCCCCGGAUGCUGCUGAGAGGACUGGGUUUCUGAUCGCAGCUCACUGCAACCUCCGCCUCCUGGGUUCAAGCGAUUUGCCUGCCUCAGUCUUCCGAGUUGCUGGGACAACAGGUGCACGCCGCCACGUCUGGUUAAGCCAAAUUCAACUUAUCUCAGCUGCUGGAAAUUGCAAAUGAUUCUCAAGGAGAGACCCAGCCCCUUGAAACUGUGUGCUUAAUCCACACAACAUGCCAGAGCAUGAUUUCUGGAGAGGCUUUUUGCAUUCCUGUAGAUCCAUAUAUGAUAAAUACUUUUAUCAUUUUCUGUGGCGUUCACCGUCAUGGUGCUGAGAGGUGCUGUCUGCUUUCAUCUGUGUGCUGAAUUACAGACAUAUAUGAUCAAAUAAAGUCAAGACAAGAAUCA
rnacentral:lncRNA from 13 species